rnacentral:rRNA from 1 species
CGGCGGACGGGUGAGUAACGUGUCGGGCAACCUCGUCCGUUUUACGUUCGGGGNUAAGUAAUCGUUGGAAACGACGACUAAUACCGCAUACGGUUCUUAGAAGGCAUCUUCUGAGAAAGAAAGGAGUAAUUCGGUAAAAGAUGGGCCCGCAUCUGAUUAGCUAGUUGGUGAGAUAACAGCCCACCAAGGCAACGAUCAGUAGCCGACCUGAGAGGGUGACCGGCCACAUUGGGACUGAGACACGGCCCAAACUCCUACGGGAGGCAGCAG